rnacentral:lncRNA from 1 species
CUGAUGUCAAGUUUGAGGAAAAGACGAAGCAGUACUUUGUCUGUGUUAUCUUUUUUGUAUAUAGUGUACAGUUGUCAAAGUGAGGUAGUUGGCCUCAAUGUUGAAAAUAUAAGAUUCAAGAUAUUUAUUUUCCUACCCUUUGGGGACACAAGAAUAGCUAAUGUUGCCUUCCAGGGGAGCUGCGUUUGAAUUGACUUUCACCCCUCUUUUCCUCUAUAUUUCUGAAUGAGUCUGGGUGGUUCUCAAGGUCCUUGAUGAGGCAUUUUUAUCCUUUCUUGCAAUGGAAGAUGGCUUGUCGUCAUUCAGGGGCCAAAACGGAUACUACAUACCUACUACAGAGUGAAUUCAGCCAAACCUAAAAAAAGAAGUAUCACUUUAUCAGUAUUGUGUGAAUGCAUGGUAUUGUAACUUCUUUCACAGUUUUGACUGGUUUAAACAAAACAAAAGGAAUCAAGCCCAAUUUUUUCUCUCACAUUAAGCACAUUGAUUCACUAUUAGGACAGCUGAUGCGUAAAAAAUAGCCAUAUUAUGACUUCUGUUUAUUUCACCUUUCUCAUUGUUCCUAUUAGUGAUGUCACACACAUUGACAAUAUUUUAUUGAUACACUCUUCCUCAGCUUGUCACAAGCCUAGGCCCAUCUCUAGACUAAUUGUUUUAUGUAUUAACAUUGGUCAUAUAUACUGUAUAGCCUGGUCCCCUUCUGUAAGUGUGCUGUAGCCAACUUUCUAUUCUUCUAUCCUUGUCAAGCUAUACAUACACUAUAUAUACAUAUGGAAACCCCUUCAAAUUAGUGGAUUCGGCUAUUUCAGCAAGCACCAGUUCCUGACAGGUGUAUUAAACUGAGCACAAAGCCAUGCAAUCUCCAUAAACAAACAUUGGCAGUAGAAUGGCCUUACUGAAGAGCUCAGUGACAUUCAACAUGGCACCGUCAUAGGAUGCCAACUUUACAGCAAGUCAGUUCAUCAAAUUUCUGCCCUGCAAGAGCUGCCCCGCUCAAUUGUAAGUGCUGUUAUUGUGAAGUGGAAACAUCUAGGCGCAACAACGGCUCAGCCAUGAAGUGGUAGGCCACACAAGCUCACAGAACAGGACCGCCGAGUGCUGAAGUGCGCAGCGCGUAAACAUCGUCUGUCCUCGGUUGCAACACUCACUACCGAGUUCCAAACUGCCUCUGGAGGCAGCGUCAGGAUCUUCAUGAAAUGGGUUUCCAUGGCCGAGCAGUUGGCUGGAGUGGUGUAAAGCUCACCGCCAUUGGACUCUGGAGCAGUGGAAAUGCGUUCUUUGGAGUGAUUAAUCACCCUUCACCAUCUGGCAGUCUGACGGAAGAAUCUUGGUUUGGCGGAUACCAGGAGAACACUACCUGCCCCAAUGCAUUGUGCCAACUGUAAAGUUUGGUGGAGGAGGAAUAAUGGUCUAGGGCUGUUUUCAUGAUUCGGGCUAGGCCCCUUAGUUCCAGUGAAGGGAAAUGUUAACGCUACAGCAUACAAUGACAUUCUAGACAGUUCUGUGCUUCCCACUUUCUGGCAACAGUUUGGGGAAGGCCCUUUCCUGUUUCACAUGACAAUGCCCCCGUGCACAAAGCGAGGUCCAUACAGAAAUGGUUUGUCGAGAUCGGUGUGGAAGAACUUGACUGGCAUGCACAGAGCCCUGACCUCAACCCCAUCGAACACCUUUGGGAUGAAUUGGAACGCCGACUGCGAGCCAGGCCUAAUUGCCCAACAUCAGUGCCCAACCUCACUAAUGCUCUUGUGGCUGAAUGGAAGCAAGUCCCCGCAGCAAUGUUCCAACAUCUAGUGGAAAGCCUUCCCAGAAGAAUGGAGGCUGUUAUAGCAGCAAAGGGGGGACCAACUUUAUUUUAAUGCCCAUGAUUUUGGAAUGAGAUGUUCGACGAGAAGGUGUCCACAUACCUUUGGUCAUGUAGUGUACAUCCUGUAUGACAAGGAACGAACACAGAGAGAAGUUGGCAAAAGCGCAAACAGACUGGACCACCAGGCUAGGUAAUACGAGCACCAUAUUUCUCUCAGAAUGCUUGUUCUAGGUUUCAUUGAGUGUUUUAUUUUAUUUAUCAGGGUUUUUGUUUUAAAUGUAUUUGUUUGCUGUUAAAAUGUAUUUGAAUGUCAUGAUUUUUCUUUCAUUGUGCACGCAAAACAGGAGGGACGUACACAAUCUGUAAUGUGUACCAAGGCUGAAUUAGUUCUGUCACAGAAAAUAAAAGUUUUGAAACCUAGCUUGUUUCAGGGAAAUCAGUGGAGUUGUUAUUGGUGUGUACAUGAUUGUGUAUGAUGUUAGGAGUUGGG